UGGCCACGCUUCUUUUGAUGUAGUCCAGGAUACGAUUGGCUUUCUCGGCUGCAAGUGCACAUGCUG